CUCUGCAAUAGGAUAAUAAGAUACUCUGUCUAAUAAUUUACUAACUACGAUCAAUAUUUAUAAUACGUCUCGAUAUCUUAUAUCUUAUGCUUCGAUUCUAGAGACCGAACUAAACGAGAUCAACUUAUUUAUCAAGUCACAAGUAUCUUUUUGUAUAACUUAUUUUGUUCUAGAAUCCGUUCAACAAAGGUACAUAAAUGUAUAAACACCGUGUAUACACGAGGCCAGCGAACCGAUGAAGUCAUCUCCAGCGUGGAAUCGGUUGCCAGGCGCAUCCUUUACUUUCGAACCGCCUUACAAGGAAUCACGGUAUACACAGUUGUUCUCGUAAUCGAGUCGAAACGCGCUUCGUUGUCAUCAUCGUCGAAACCGCGAUAUUUACGUGGAAAAGGCUGUGAUGAAGGCACGCGACAUCCCGAGGCUGCGUCGGUGGGAACCGGGCCAAGAUCGUUGGAUGGCCGACCCGUGGCAUCGAUCUUCCAUCGUGGAGGCGCGCGAAUCGCGACCACGUGGGCCAAUCGCGCAACAGCGCGACAACGGAGAAAAGAAAACCCAACGAUUUUCGCCGCGAUUUUUUCGCAACGAUUUUUUCGCACGCGACCGUCCAUCUAAUCCCGUUACCUCCUUCCAGCCAAAGAACCGUGUCAAGGCGAGCGUUAUAAAUGCGCCUGACUUCUUUUCUUCUUUUUCUUUUUCUUUUGUUUGUUUGCUUUUCUCUCUUUUUUUUUUUAUAUUUUUAGAAUCGCAUCGUCAUUUAAACGAUAAAAGCGUAAGCAAGAUGUAAGAUGAUAUUGUAACUUGAUUUUUGGAUAAUACCGAUGGAUCGGUAUUAUUGAAGUUGGUUUGGAGGAAUGGCACUGUAUGGAUUGCCGAGGAAAGGAAAAGAGAAAUCAAUAUCCUGAAUUUUUUCGACGAAAAUGAUCUGGAUAAAAAAGCGAAGAAUAACAAUAGAAUAAUUACAUCAUUAGAUCUCUUUCGAAGCUACGCAAUUCUUGCUUGAAAUUUCUCCUACGAUGUAAUAUUGCCAGAUUUAUUUUUGAUUCAGAUCGUGCGAGCACAGAAAUCGGGUUUUAGGAAAGAGCGUGAAAAAGUUUCACACCCCUCGAAGUAUUCCGUGGAGAGGCCUGAAAACAUACGAUGGCGGAAGAUUUGAGGAAAAUAUCUAAGCGAAGAUGAAGUUGAGUUGUGGACCGGGGGCGUAUUUUCGAUAAUCUGGCAUCGAUAAGAUCGAUGCUCGGUGAACUUCUGGCCUCGACUCGAUCAACAGAACAAUUUUUCAUGGCGUUUACACGGUAAUCGGAGCCGAUGGGGCGGACGGAUCGUUAAAGUGCACCUAACCGGCCCUCCUCUCAUCGCGUGCACUUCCUGGGGGACGAUGUUCUUAUCUCUCCGCCCGAUAACAUUGACGAUAGGCCCUAGAAUAGCCAGAUAAGAGGAAUUAUCCCGAGAAAAUUCUACGAAUACUCCGCCCACACACAGCUGCGCCACCGAAAAAUCUCACAGCUGCGUAGAUUUUUCCACUUCGUGAGCGGAUGUAUAUCGGGUGUCAUCAGAAUUAAGGAAUUCUCUUAGUAUGAAGAGUAUGGAGAUCUACAGCAAAUUCAAUAAAAGAAAUGUAAACCAUUUG